UAAAUGUUUCAAAUAUACUUUACAUUGGAGCGCAUCUUUUCUCAGAAGCUAAGUAGGGUCAUGCCUGGUUAGUACUUGGAUGGGAGACAGCUACUGGAAAAGUUAGCAAAACAACUAA
rnacentral:rRNA from 1 species